rnacentral:rRNA from 1 species
AUGCCUAACACAUGCAAGUCGAACGAACCCUUCGGGGUUAGUGGCGCACGGGUGCGUAACGCGUGGGAACCUGCCCUUAGGUUCGGAAUAACUCAGAGAAAUUUGAGCUAAUACCGGAUAAUGUCUUCGGACCAAAGAUUUAUCGCCUUUGGAUGGGCCCGCGUUGGAUUAGCUAGUUGGCGGGGUAAAGGCCUACCAAGGCGACGAUCCAUAGCUGGUCUGAGAGGAUGAUCAGCCACACUGGGACUGAGACACGGCCCAGACUCCUACGGGAGGCAGCAGUGGGGAAUAUUGGACAAUGGGCGAAAGCCUGAUCCAGCAAUGCCGCGUGAGU